rnacentral:rRNA from 1 species
UGAGGAAUUUUGCGCAAUGGGAGCAAUCCUGACGCAGCAACGCCGCGUGGGUGAUGAAGGCCUUCGGGUCGUAAAGCCCUGUCAGGUGGGAAGAAUGUCCCGGGACUGAACAGGUUCCGGGAGUGACGGUACCACCAGAGGGAGCACCGGCUAACUCCGUGCCAGCAGCCGCGGUAAUACGGAGGGUGCAAGCGUUAUUCGGAAUUACUGGGCGUAAAGCGCGUGUAGGCGGUCCCGCAAGUCUGAUGUGAAAGCCCCGGGCUUAACCCGGGAAGUGCAUUGGAAACUGUGGGACUUGAGUACUGGAGAGGAUGGUGGAAUUCCCGGUGUAGAGGUGAAAUUCGUAGAGAUCGGGAGGAAUAUCAGUGGCGAAGGCGCCCAUCUGGACGGUAACUGACGCUGAGACGCGAAAGCUAGGGUGGCAAACG